GGGAUAACAUUCGGAAACGGAUGCUAAAACCGCAUAGGUCCUUUAACCGCAUGGUUGAAGGAGGAAAAGAGGCGCAAGCUUCUGCUGAUGGAUGGACCCGCGGUGCAUUAGCUAGUUGGUGAGGUAACGGCUCACCAAGGCCGUGAUGCAUAGCCGACCUGAGAGGGUGAUCGGCCACAUUGGGACUGAGACACGGCCCAA
rnacentral:rRNA from 1 species